rnacentral:rRNA from 1 species
GUGCCAGCCGCCGCGGUAAUACCGGCAGCUCAAGUGGUCGUCGCUUUUAUUGGGCCUAAAACGUCCGUAGCCUGUUUGGUAAAUCUGUGGGUAAAUCAACCAGCUUAACUGGUUGAAUUCUGCAGAGACUGCCAGACUAGGGACCGGGAGAGGUGUGGGGUACUCUAGGGGUAGGGGUAAAAUCCUGUCAUCCUUAGAGGACCACCAGUUGCGAAGGCGCCACACUGGAACGGAUCCGACGGUCAGGGACGAAGCCUAGGGGCACGAACCGGAUUAGACACCCGGGUAGUUAAGGGUGAGGGCUCUGUUAGUUUGGUGUCGGGAGUACACAAUGACCGCCCGAACCGAGGACGAACAUGCAACAUCUAUUUGUAAGUGAGUAAGGUUCCAAGGCUGGAUCUUAAUGGAACUGUCGGGGGAGCGCAGCAAUAGGGGGAGGGGGCGUUUUAAUUGGCUUCAUCCCCGGAAAACUCAGCAGGGCCGACUGUUAGAUGAAGACCAGUGUAAGGAGCUUGUCGGAUUUUCAGAGAGGGUGUGCAUGUCCGUUUUCAGUUCGUACUGUAAAGCGUUAAACUAAGUCAGAUAACGACCGAGACCCUCAUCUCUAUUUGCUACCCGUCUCUCUGGAGGCGGCGCACUAUAGGGAGACCGCUGGUGUUAAACCAGAGGAAGGUGAGGGCAAUGACAGGUCAGUAUGCCCCGAAUGUCCUGGGCUACACGCGCGCUACAAAGAACGGGACAAUGGGAAGCCAGUCCGAGAGGCCGCGCUACCCCGAAACCCGUUCAUAGUUCGGAUCGUGGGCUGUAACUCGCCCACCGAACCGGGAUUCCGUAGUAAUCGUGCUUCAAUAUAGCACGGCGAAUAAGCCCCUGCUCCUUCCACACCCC